rnacentral:rRNA from 1 species
UCUGGAAACUGUCUGACUNGAGUGCAGAAGGGGAGAGUGGAAUUCCAUGUGUAGCGGUGAAAUGCGUAGAUAUAUGGAGGAACACCAGUGGCGAAAGCGGCUCUCUGGUCUGUCACUGACGCUGAGGCUCGAAAGCGUGGGUAGCGAACAGGAUUAGAUACCCUGGUAGUCCACGCCGUAAACGAUGAGUGCUAGGUGUUAGGCCCUUUCCGGGGCUUAGUGCCGGAGCUAACGCAAUAAGCACUCCGCCUGGGGAGUACGACCGCAAGGUUGAAACUCAAAGGAAUUGACGGGGGCCCGCACAAGCGGUGGAGCAUGUGGUUUAAUUCGAAGCAUCGCGAAGAACCUUACCAGGUCUUGACAUCCCGAUGCUAUUCUUAGAGAUAGGAAGUUACUUCGGUACAUCGGAGACAGGUGGUGCAUGGUUGUCGUCAGCUCGUGUCGUGAGAUGUUGGGUUAAGUCNNNCNACGAGCGCAACCCUUAUUGUUAGUUGCCAUCAUUAAGUUGGGCACUCUAGCGAGACUGCCGGUAAUAAACCGGAGGAAGGUGGGGAUGACGUCAAAUCAUCAUGCCCCUUAUGACCUGGGCUACACACGUGCUACAAUGGUCGGUACAACGAGUUGCGAGCCGGUGACGGCAAGCUAAUCUCUGAAAGCCGAUCUCAGUUCGGAUUGGAGGCUGCAACUC